rnacentral:rRNA from 2 species
AGGUGUGAUCAUACUAGCACUAAUGCACCGGAUCCCAUUAGAACUUCGCAUAUAAGCCUGCUUGGGUGAGAGUAGUAUUACAAUGGGUGACCUCUUGGGAAGUCCUCGUGUUGCACCUC